CUGAAGUGGGUGGCCGAGUGAGCCAUCCCUCCCUAUGACUCAGAAAAUAUUUUCUGAUCUGACCUCUGCUGGUAUGAGUCCUGCCUGAUCUGAGCUCAGGUGGAAGGCAGGUUAACCCUUUAACGACUUUCUGUGGGUGAAGUAGCCUCUUUAAAGAGGAAGGGAUCACCUGAAAAGCCUGAUAUUCCAUACGUACGUGACUGUUAGCUUUUGAACUUUUGUACCUUAACGUCCAAAUGCUGCCUGUGUACUCUGUUCCUGGUGGGAGGAGCCAGAGGUGGCCGGCCCUUUGGAUAUUCACUAGGCAGGAGGUGGCGGGAGCUGCAGGGGACCGGCCCCCAGUCUACCUCUAGGAGCUGCGUCCUUUUUUCCUUAAUUAAACUUUUUUAUUUUGAGAUUAUCGUAGAUUCUUGCACAGCCGUCAGAAAUAAGACGGAGACGUCCCACGUUCUCUUUACUCAGUUUGUCCUGAUGGUGGCAUCUUACAAAGCUACGCACCGAUGUAAUGAUUUUGUUGGCAUUGGUACAAUCAAGAUACAGAGUGUUUGGUGUCCCUUUUGAAUUCGGUGACCUGUAGGGUGCGACUGGCUGUGUCUGCGCGUCCCUGGGUCCCAGCCCGGCGCUCGUCUCCCAGGAAACCCCUCUCCUGCCUCUUUCUUUCUGCCGUGUCCUCCUCUCGUGGUCCUGGCGCUCUGCCCCAGUGCGUGCGCCUUCUCUCCCUGGCUGUGGGAUGACAGUCCUGUUUCCUUCCUCCCACUCAGGGCGCUGCCUGGAGGCCUCUUUGGCAUCUUCUCUGUCCCUUCAAGCUGUCCCUGCCGUUCCCACCAGCCAGGUCUCCUGCCGCGCCCAUGGCGUUGAGCGGUCCCAAGGGUGUUCACAGAGGACGUGCUGGGUGUCUGUCUGCCGUGCUCCGCAGCUCACACGUGGCUCUGUAGUGCCUCCCUCACCGCCCGCCUUUGUCGUUCCUUCCCAGACUCUCUCUCCCCACCCAUGGGCGCUGUCGCGGUGCCUGGCCCGGGGCUCUGUUCCUUGGCGCCCCUGUGUCGGACCGGGCCCUCUUCCUGUCCAGGGCGCCUGGCAGGGCUGCCGAGUCACAGGUUCCCGUGAGCUGCAGUUGGGAGGCCGGAGGCUGUGUGCUUCACUGAGUAUUGACCUUGGAUGACGAUGUCUCCUCAUCUCUGAGGGGCUUCCGUUUAAAUCCCCUCAGUUAGUCAUGGGGUGCGCAGCCAAUGCCAGGAAAGCGCGUUAGACUCACACCAGGUGCACGGGCAGCCGGUGUGUGAGAGAGGUUACCUCUGAGAAUGCUUCUCCCUUAAAAACCUGAUGCGUCUUUUCCCGGGUGGGGAAGGGGUUUUGCAGGCUGUGUGCUGGGGGCCAGGGGGCCGCCACGGGGUGGUGCCCACAGGGAUGGCGGGAGUCGUGAGGCUCGGGGCGGGGAGCUCUCGGGAAGGAUUUGCACGUCGCAUGGUGGUGGUGGCUCACAUUUCCCGUGGUCUGCAGGUGGCUCCCUGGCGUCUGCUCUGUGCUCACCCUGCAGGCUGAGUGAGGCUCCCACCGGGGAGCAGGUGCUGGGGCCACAGGACACGCUGGGCCCACACCUGGUCUGGGACAGACACCAGGUGAAGGGGCGGGACAAGGGGAAGAGGAGCCGUGCUGGGUCUUGUGGGUUUUGUGUCUUUUUAAAUAACAGCUUUGUCAAGAUAGCAUUCACACACCACCCAUGUGAAGUGUACAAUUUAGUGGCUUCUACUAUAUUCACAGAGCGGUGCAACCAUCACUUCUAAUUCCAGAACGUUCCAUCAGCGCAAAGGGCCCGCAGUCCCCUGCCCCAGCCCCUGACACUAGGAACCCAUUCUCUGUGUCUGUGGAUCUGCCUGUUCUGGACGGCUCCCAUCAGUGGAAUCACACACUGUGUGUCCUUCUGUGUCUGGCUUCUCUCAACUGAGCAUCGUGUUCUCAGGGUCCGUCCACGUUGUUGUGUCAGGGCUUCACCCCUUUGCGUGGCUGAGUGAUGCUCCCGUGUGUGUGGACCAGGUUGUAGGGUCUCGAAGCCCCUGGAGAGGCGUUCGUUUGGCUUGGUCCUGGGGUGGGGCGAUGACAGUUGCACUGAUACGGUGCUAACAGGACCCCUUGCUGGAGUGGGAGACAGUUGAAGGCUGGGGGUGCAGCUCGCCUUGGCCUUUGAGACCGCGGGGUGGAGGCCAUGCUGCUGCUUGUCGCUUGGGGAGCUCCAGGUGAGUCCUUCUCCAGCUGUGCCCCCUCGGUCCCUGGGCUUUCCCUCCCUUCCCGUCACGGCCUCGGCCUCAGGCCGGACUGCUCUGUGGCAGUAAAGCAUUUUCUUUGGUGAGGGCAAGAAAAGUUCUGGUGGUGAACUUUUGGUGGUUGUGUUCCCCCGUCCCACCGGAGUCACUGCACGACGGCCCCUCCAUGCGGACCCCCGGCAUCAGGCGCUAAGCACUUGCAGGCGCUCCUUGUGUGGGUGGGUGACCUGGGCUGUUACAGGUGGGCUAGUUUGGAUUGAAGCAACUGAAAUGGUCUUGUCACCCCUGGAGCCACCGUGGCACCCCGUCCUCCUAUGGACACACCCAUGCCCGUCCUGCAGAAGGACGGCUGCCCGGACAGCAGGGCGUCCCAGCCGGUCCUGGCUCUGCGCAGACUAGCUUCCGUGAGCUGCGGACCCAGGCGUGGAGCUCAGGGUCAGGUCUGGAAACGCUCCCGCAGGUGUGGCGGUAGGUGAGGGGGCACAGGAGCCACGCACAUGCCCUACUGGGAGCCACGUGACGAGUCAAAAGGGGGAGGCGAGGUACGUUUUCAUAGCGUUGUACAUAACCGAGUAUAGCCCAAAUACUACGUUUUCAACGUGUCGUUUAAAAAAUUAGUAAAGGGCAGUUUUACUUCGUGUGUGUGUGCUCGCGCGUGCUGUCUUAGAAAUCUGCGUGCAUCUUGUGCUCACAGCACACGUCACUGGAGUGGGCCAGCGCGCACCAUUGCCCCUUGUCCAGGUGGCCAGGGGCCGCUGUGGGCACAGUGAGGCUCUAGACCCCUCUCCCUCGUGAGGGCUCCUUCCUUGGACCCUGGUCAUCGGUACCCCAGUGUGCACAGCGGGUCCCACCCGCCCGGGUCAGGGCCACGGGCCCACCGUGUCCUGCACCGUGUCCGUGGCCCGGGAGCCACGAGCCUGCUCCCUCUUCUCUCUUCCUCCUCCAGCUGGACUUUGGCCUCAUGGGGUCCCGGCAGCCCCUUCCUGUUUUCCCAUGUUGACUGUUCUUGCAGUGCCAGUCUCGCGGGCAGGGUUUUGAGACGCGGCUCGGUCCCGAGACCAGCCUGGUUUGUCGCCUGGCCCUGCGGGGAGAGGACCGGAUGGGCGGUGGGAGGAGAUCCUCCUUCCUGGCUCUCUCCUUUGCAUCGCUUUACCGGGCGGUUCCCAUCCUUGGCCUGGCUUGUCCUCAGGUACGGUCCUGGGGCCAGGCAGCACCCCCUUGCUGGGGGCCUGCGGACAUCCAGGGCUGACUGUGGACAAGACCCGUGUGAUGCUGCACAGCCAAUCUCUCUGCCACCCCUGCCCCUGGGUGAAAUGCACUCAUUUUCAAUUGAAAACCUGUUUGCUUCUUGAAUACUCAGGCCCACCGCAGGCGCUGGCCCUCUGCCUCCCCCUACACGCCCUGCUCCCUCUCCUUGGCAAGUGGGUGCUCCCCAGCGGGGCUGCAGGCUGAGAGGUGAGGCUGAGCUCCUUCACUGGGCCUCGGGGCCCUCUGCUCACCCACCUGGCUUUCCUCCCAGACUGAGAGCCUUCUGUGGAUUUUCCACUCCUCCAGCCAGACCUCUGCUCUCAAAGCCCUGCCACUGAGAGAGGCAGACAGACAGCCGGCAGAACUCCCGCCGUGUUCCAUCUCCCGUGCCUUUGACUCCUCCCGCUGUGCUUCUCCACUUUGGGAAGCAGUGCGUGCAUCACAUCCUGGCUGCUCUGUCCCACUUGCCUUGGCCUCCACCCCAGGUCUCCAGAGGUGUGCAGAGCCUCGGGGAAGAAGGCAGCGACCCCCAGCCCGCAGGCAGUGCCCCCUGCAGCCUGCUGGGGAGUGGGGACCGCGGGCAGAGUCCCAGGGUGCUCCCCCUCGGCACCUCCUGGGCACUUAUGCCCCCAGCAGACGGUGAUACAGAGUGUGGUCCCUGCUUGCUUCAGGCCGGUGGUUCUCUGAGCAGGGCCCCUGGGCCAGCAGCUUCCCCACCAGCUGGAACUGGUUAGGAAUGCGGGUUCCUGGGGCCCAGACCUGCUGACUCUGAAACUUUGCGGGUGGGCCCCAGAGCUCCACUCUGACCAGGGAUUCUGAUGCUCGUCCCGGUGUGAUGCCCCUGCCUCGGAGGCCCCCUGGGUCCCGGCGUCUUCCUGCUGCAAGUGGGAAGAGGAGGACGGAGUCCACGUCUUGUCUCCUCCCUAGUCUCUGCCCCCUGCCUCUCGCCGGGUCCUCGAGGGACGAUGUUUCCAGAUGUCGUGCCCCUGUCACCGUGAACCAGCCUGUGUGCUCAGGGGUGGGCUGUGCCCUGGCAGCGAGCACCCAGGAGGCCUCCUGUCCAGGCUCCUCAGGCCGGGUGCAGGGCCUGUGGGGACGAGCAGGGGCAAAACCAGACCUGCGGGCGUCCGGGUGGAGUUCCUGUUCCCACACCUGUCUUCACGGUCAAGGAGGAGGCAGGGGCCUGCCGAGUGGGACAGCCAGACUCCCCAGCCCCGUGGGCGGCCCCCGCCCUCCCCUGAGCUGGGCAGGGGAGGGGAGCGGACGGGACGGGCUUGGUGGCGGCUCAGGCCUGAUGACAGCCCCCGGCUUGCGCACAGCGUGCUUUUUCAGGCGGGAACGGCUGUGCUUAUUGCGGCUGCUUUCCCAGGACCCCGCAGUGAGGCCGCGGCUUUGUGCUGAGCAGCAUUUCGCUAAGCCUCUGCGCGGCUUCCUGCGGAGGCUCUGAGGCUGUCAGUGAGAAGAGCCUGGGUUAGUCACUGACUCAGCAGGCAGCCAGCAGCGGGCCGGGGCUGUGGCUGGGACAGGGAGGCCGGGCGUCCCGUGCAGCAAGACCAGGGCUGGCCUCAAACUCCGGAGUUCCAGGGUUCCCCUGGGGAAGGAGGUGUGGGCGCUCCUAAGCGUGGGCUUCCUCAGGGCUGUUCUCAGUUGGACCUUUCUGGGUCGGCUUCUGGCGUCAAUCUGUUCUGAAGGCCUGUGAAGCAGAAGAAGAGGCCACAGCCGAGAAGCUGUGAGAGCUUCUGAAUCAUCGAUGGUGAUCAGGGCAUCUUAAAUCAUACGACUCAGGACGGUCGCUGGAAGCUGGCCAGUCCCUAAAGCAGCAUCCUCAGAUAGUAGGAGGCACAUCAUAAACUGUUUCCUUCCUUUUGUUCUGGUUUGAAAGUUGAAAGCUUGGGAAAGCUUGAGUUCAUCUCAUCACAGAUGAGACCACGUUCCAGGCCCCCGUCUUCCCAGGUCUGCGUGAUUCGGUCUGAGACGUGGUGGCUCAGCCAGGGCUGCGGCCCGCGUGCCGUGAGGGCCCCUGCCGCCCCUGCAGGAGGAGCGUCUCUGGGGCGCGUCCAGCCUCCUGGGGGGCGCCAAGGGAGGGAGCGCAGUCCGAGCCGGCACGGGGCUGCCACGCGGCGCACGCUCAGGCACACGCGCAUGCUCACGGGGUCCUUUCAGAGCUCACACCCUGUUUUGUAACUCCACAGUGGUGACUGGAAUCAGACUCUCCUGGCUGCUGCCACGUCCUCCUGUGGCUCUAAGACUUGUUCUUACGGGCCGUGCUCGCAGGGUAGUGUAUCGGCCUAAACGCAGACGUGAAUUUAGCAGCUUGAGACGACGCACACUGAUGACCUCCCGUGGUUUCUGAGGGCAGGGAUUCAGAGCAGGCGGGCCAGGGGAUUCCGGCCGAGGGUCCCUCAGGAGGCUGCAGUAGGGGCUUUAGCCGGGGCUGCCCCAUCUGAAGGCUGGACCGGGCGGGAUGCCUGGCUUCCAGGAGGCCCCUCCCGUGGCUCCUCUGCACGUGGGCCCCGCAGGGCUGCUGAGGCUCCUCAGUGCACGGGGGCCGGCUCCCCUCAGGAGGAGUGUGACGUGGGAGAGCGUUGGUGGAAAGUUCUAGACCCUCCUCCUCAUCCUGUGACUACCUCAGCGCCUUGUACACUGUGCUGUGUGCGUUUGUCUCUGAGCAGACCCUGCAGGACAGCGUGGCGUCUUCUCUGCUUUCAGUGGGUCCAGGAGCCCAGGGAGUUCAGGGCUGCCAGGACUGUCUUUGUGGACUCACUGAAUGUUGGGGACCAGGAACAGAGUCUGUCGGCCGUGUGAGUGUCUGAGAUGCUCAGUGUCUUCCUACUGAGGCGGAGGUGCUUCUAACGAUACCGUGCAUUUCCUCCUGUAGGUUUUGUUGUGGUUUUUUGUUUGUUUGUUUUUGCCACACCGUGCAGCAUGUGGGAUCUUAGUUCUGUGACCAGGGAUUGAACCUGGGCCCUCGGCAGUGAAAGCACAGAGUCGUAACCACUGGACCGCCAGGGAAGUCCCUGUUGUUCUUGUUGUUGAUAGCUGUUUUGAGGUGUAAUUCCCACAGUCUUCACCUCAUCCACCUAAAGCAUGCUGUUCCCUGCUUUGUAGUGUAUUCAUUGAGUGCAGUCGUCACUACUACCAAUUUUAGAACAUUCCAUCACCCCGAGAGGAAACCCCGUCCCCAUUAGUAUCCCUCCCACCCCCCUCUACAGCCCCUGACAACCAGGAACCCAC